UACGAAGGGGGGCUAGCGUUGCUCGGAAUCACUGGGCGUAAAGCGCACGUAGGCGGGUCUGUAAGUCAGGGGUGAAAUCUGGAGCUCAACUCCAGAACUGCCUUUGAUACUGCGGAUCUCGAGUCCGGGAGAGGUGAGUGGAACUCCGAGUGAGAGGUGAAAUUCGUAGAUAUUCGGAAGAACACCAGUGGCGAAGGCGGCUCACUGGCCCGGUACUGACGCUGAGGUGCGAAAGCGUGGGGAGCAACAGGA
rnacentral:rRNA from 1 species